GUAGACACACCUUGCAAAAAAUGUUAAAAAUUCAUCAGAUAAGUGACACAGGUCAGAAAAUCAGAUCUACUUAAAUGAGGAACAAACACUGGAGACUGAUUAAGUGAAGAGACCACUCUUUUCAGUGACAGACAUCUCCAUGAGCUGUUCUUUGUGACCACCAGCUGUGUUGUGAGAACUGUUUUGGUCUUGCUUUUCUUCAUGCCUGUCAAAGGCCACAGAGUGUUGAAGCCUGCAAACGCAGCCUGAAUCAGCACGGACCCCAGAGACUUUCAACAGCAUCUCAAUAAAACUUUCAAUUAUCUCCAUUUUAUACACAGUAUUUCAGUUGUGGGUGACACACUUCGUCUGAACAAAAUUAUAUUAAAUAACACCUUGAAUGAAAAGGUCCAUUCAAACAGAGAAAUAAUACAGAGAAUUAUACCCAAUAUCUUGUUUUUUAUUAUACAUUAUGAAUAAAAUCACUACUAAAAGCCAAGAAAAAUCAUCAAUGUUCUUUUUAGAAUCACAAAUGUCCCAACAACCUUUGAUUUGAAAACCCCUUGUGGCCUAAGCACCUUAAGCUAUCUUGCAGAAAAUUCUAUGUGUGUUAAAACACUUGCAGGGACUACUUUUCCAAAGAAAUGAUUAUUAAAGGACAUUAGUGAAACAUCUUUAUAUUGACUAAUUUUAGAGCUAUCCGUUCACUCUUUAUUCUUUGCAUGUGUUUAUCUUGUUUUAUUAGCAACUUGUUGCUAGAUUCUGAUGUGUUAAUUCUUAGCUACAGUAAGGUUGUUUUAAAUGUUAUGUUUACUAUGAUAUUACUUAAAAAAAAGUUACAUUUUCGCCUCUGUGUAAGCACAGAGCUGGUGAACUAAACAACAUACAUAACUCUCAAUCUAUCAUCUGCAUUCCCUUUGCAUUAGGUGUAACACUGGCACAAAAAUCAGAGCCCCAGCUCCAAUUUUUCCAGCUGUCUCUGUUGCCCUGUGAUCUUUUGGUACAAAUUUUCUAGCCUGUUUGAAAAGGCAGGCUUCUACCCCCUUCUUUGAUUGUACUUAGGCAUUUUGCCAGCCUGCGACAUGGAUUAAUAUGAACAGAAUCACAGACUUUUCUGAACACUAGUCAUUUACGUGUGUUUAGUAGCAUAUACCCAGCAAGAGAAAGGCAGGCUGCCGUUGCCUUUGUAUAGAGUCUGGGUAGGUUUUGAUUUCACUCAGAGUCAAGAACAAAGCAACCUCUGACUUUUCCUCAAACUCAGCCCGUAUGGAAUGACUUUUAAUGACUUCACGAACUGCUAGCCUUCAGAUGACUGGAGUGUUUUUUGCUUCUUAAGUUUUUCCUUCUAUGACGUUUUAUGAUUAUACCUUAUGGUGCAGUUCUAUUUUUGUUCUCAUGUGUUUCUGAGUGCUUAAAGUCUAGAGGAAAAAUUUUUUAACUCAUUUGGCUCCCAUGAAAUGUGCUUUUCAGUUUGGGGAUAACGUGGAGAGAAGCUUUAAGUACUGUGCCAAUACCAAACAUGGCAUUCCCUAUUAAUGAGCCAAUUCCAUCCCCUGAGUCUGAAUAAUUUAGAGAAGACGUGAUGUCAUUGUCUCCUUAGAGAUAAAUGGAAAGGAGUCUGGGUGUAGAAUUUUUGAGUGGUCUUUAUAAUAAUAGUAAUUAAAAAACAUUACCUCAUAUAUUUAAACUUUGUGUGCACACCAUGUGCUUUUCUCAUUUUUUACCCAAUAUUACUCGUAAAGGACUAGUAUUCCUGUUUCAUUAUUUUUGAAGCACUGUUUGAUGACACUGGUUUAACAGUUUCUCACAGUUCACUGCUUCAGUUUUCAUCAAAUCAUAUUUCUAGUUACACUAGACACUUUCAUCAUCAAUUUCCAUAUGCCUCAAAGACAUGCAAGGACCAAUUUGCCAACAAGUGAAUUCAGAUACCAGAUAAUAGCUGCUGUAGAUUACAUUUUUCUCUUACUAUAGCCUUUUCUAAAAUGAAAAGUUUAUAACCCACCAGGCCAACCCCCUAACAACCAAACACACCAUAUUUGUUUAACUGGAUUAGCCUGGGUCUAUGGUGAAGUUUCAGGAUUAUGGCAAACUAUUUAGUUUCGAUGUGCAAAUGUUAUGAUAAGAUGAACAAUGGCUGUAUAUACUUCCAUACAGUUCAUAUCCCAGUUAAUGGAAAAGCAGCAGCCAUACAAUUUGCCAAAGAACUGCCAAGUUCAAAAGAAUUCUAAAAUCCCUUCUCUCUUAAAUUCUACAACUUUUCUGUGUUCUGUCUGUCACGUCUUGAAGCUCCCAUUGUCAAAUGCCACAGAUUAGGGCCCAUAGUAAACUCCAGAUAAUUCUGAAGCAUGCAAAUAAGUUUUAUAUCAAUAAUUGUUGAUAAAGUUUAAAUAUCAGUCACCAUUUUUCAACAAACUUUCAACUUGUUUUGCUUAUGACUUUAAACAGCGUAAAUAAAAACUGUCUAUAGCUGGCAAAACAUAUUAUCUUCAAUUUGUUUUUUAGAACACUGUUUAUGCCUUAAAGGAAAAGAACUAAUAUAAUCAGUGCUAAACUCAUGGGAAACUAAAUGAAAAGCUUUUCCUCUUUCAAACAUCAACUCAAUCAAACUCCAAAAUAUGAAUAUCAGAAGAGUUUUCUUAAUAUGCUUUAGAAUUACUGAAUCUUUUAAAGUAAUCUCUAUGAUUAUAGCAUGUGUGCAAUAUCCUGAAAUGCAAUAUAGACUGUUGGGUUAUUCUGAACUCAUGACAUUCAUAGCACUUUUUAAAUGAAAGUUAGAUUCAUAAAAAGAUGGAAUCAUAAGAAAUCAUAAAAAGAUGUGUAACAACGUGGGAAGAUGUUCAGUGUUUUAUUCGGUUGAAAAUACAGGCUACCUAGGGGAUGGGAUAUGACGAAGAAAGAGGGGUAACUUUUACUUCUUAAUUACUUCUGUAUUUAAUUUAUUUACAAUGACUGUGUAUUAAAAUUUUUAAGUGGAUUAUAACACUGUAUAAUAAUUGAUAUGUAUCAGACAUUAUUCUAAGUACUUUAAAAAUAUCAACUUAAUUUUUGUAACAACUCCAUGAAGUAGAUAACUUUAAUAUUUCUCUUUUACAAAUGAGGAAACCAAGACAUAGAGGGCUUAAGUAACUUAUCCGAGGUCACGCAGGUACUACGAGGCAGAGAUGGGAUUCAAACCUUUCUCUGCUUUUGAUAUUCCACUAUUGUUCCAUUUCUGUGAAAUACAUUUGACUGAAAAACUACAUUACAAAAUGUUAACAGUGGAUAUUUCUGAGUGACAUAAUUAUGGUUAAUUUCUAUUUUUUUAUAUUUUGCUUGUCUGUAUUUUCCAGUUUUUCACAAAACAAUCAAUAGAGUGCUUUUGAAAAGAAAAAAAAUCUUUUUAAAGUUCCCUUUGUACUAAAGCAUGAAAUAGGGAUUUGGAUGUAGCACUGUGAUUUUUUUUUUCAACUGCUCUCCAGUAAACCUUCCUUUUAUUUUAUGCAUCUAGUAGAACGUGUGCCCUAGAUCUUGGCUAUUGAACUGUUCUCUUGUGUGUAGAUUUUACUUUGUUUACAGUUGGUCACUAUGGGGAGUAAUGAGAACAGAAGAAGAAAUUGAUAGAACUUUCAAAAUGCAGAAAUAUCAAGAAAGGAAUAAAGUCAGAAAAUAUAGUUGUCAUAUAUUAGUCUUAAAAUUUCUGAACAUAUUUCUAUCACAUCUUUCCUUAGCAGUCUGAGUUGCUGAGCAGGGCCAUAGUAACUUAGCUUGUAUCCAUAAGGAAACAGCCACU
rnacentral:lncRNA from 1 species